GACGGAGGGUGCAAGCGUUGUUCGGAUUGACUGGGCGUAAAGGGCGUGUAGGCGGUUGGUCAAGUCCGAUGUGAAAGCCCGGGGCUCAGCUUCGGAAGUGCAUCGGAAACUAGCCAGCUGGAGCGCGAUAGAGGAGGGCGGAAUUCCUGGUGUAGCGGUGAAAUGCGUAGAUAUCAGGAGGAACACCGAUGGCGAAGGCAGGUCUCUGGGCAUUAACUGACGCUGAGGAGCGAAAGCAUGGGGAGCGAACAGG
rnacentral:rRNA from 1 species